UUCCAGCCCCGAUAGGAGCGGCAUCCUUUUGUUUUUUUCUUUAAAAAGCAAAAGAUACAGCGGAUAGCGGGACUACAG
rnacentral:sRNA from 1 species